CAUACACAUAUAUAUAAAUAUAUCUAUAUAUAUUUAGAUGUGUGUUAAUUUUCGAAAAGGGCUACAAAAUUUGAUGCUGUCGAAUGGAAAUGGCGAACAAAACUCAUUAGCAAAUAUUUGACCUUAAAAGCUGACAACAACAACGACAACGGCGACGACGGCGACGACGACGACGUCAAUACUAACAAGGACUACAGCAGCAACAACAUGGACAACAAAAAAUUCACUUAACACUUGGCCACAAAAGUUUUGCGGGUUGGCAAUGAGUACAGGGAAUAGCCGCAAAGCCCAAAGGUCGCACUGCAGUGAAGUUUGGCGAAUCGUUUAUAAAUCGUUUUGGCUGCCGGCAGCGGCAUCUACAUUCAGCUGCCCGGUCAGGCAAGUGGCACAGGUGGCGCAGGUGGCCAGAUGGCCCGAUGGCCAGACGGCCAGGUGCUGGUGCUGGCAACCGCAAAGGAUUUUGUACAGCUCUGCCAAGGCAGAGCCACACAAACGUAGAAAGCUUUACGAGGGCUGCGGCACAUAUCCGGCAUACGGCUAGGGCUGCACAAUUCGCAGCUGCCAGCGCAAACAAAAUUGUAGCAAAAGGUUAAUAAUUUGCAAUAUCCGCUGCAUACAGCGCCACUUCCUGUUUCCGUUGUCCAGGCUAGUGCCAACCACAAAACAAUGAUCCCAACGGCACACACACACAUAAACACACACACACACCUUUGCCUUCACGCCUGCCCCCGUUUUCAAACAAAAUCAGACAAUUUUAAUCCGGCUUUGAUUGCAGAGCCCAACAAUCACACAGACACACUGACACACACGCACACACUUAAAAAUAUCGCGUAAUUUUAACAAGCAGCGUGCGCGCUUAUAAUUUUGGCCCAUUGUCUACACGAAAUGAGUGAAUUUGUGAUUUUUCAACUUUUCAAUUUUUCAUGUUUCACCGUCGGCAAAUUUGAUGACGCUUGAAAAGCCAAAAAACUUAAGGAUUUCAGCAACGAAUUUGACAUACAGACAUUUGUGCGUGCGCGUUUGGAGAGCACAUGUUUGAGAGAGGCUGGAUAAUACAUGUUUGAGAGAGCGUGGUCAACGUUUGAGAGAGAGAGAGCGCGCAUAACACACAUGUUGCGAGAACAACAUAAUGUUAAGUCGUGUUGCAGGAGUAGCAGCGAACAUGAUCGAUUCGAACAGGACCUGAAACAUAUCGAAGGGGUAGCACAAGCUGGUAUAAGAUUGAUGAAUUUAUUGUAGUAUGCGAUGUUUGUUAUUGUCGGCCUCCCAGCUGUGGCGCACGUGCUAAGACUGAGAUGCAACAAGUUUGAAGUACCAAAUGUUAAACUGUAUCAGAAUUGUCUAUUAUCUCCCUGUUUCCCUCUCUCUUUCUCUUCAUUUACUUAAUAUUAGCUAUUGAAGGGCUUGGGUUGCUUUACCAUGCAGUUGCCUCAACAGAUUUAUGUUAAAUUUUAAAUUUUUUGGUGGAUGCUUUAAGUCGUGCAACCGCACCGGGUAGCGGGACUUGACAGUGGAUCUCGGUCUUGGCAAGAACAACAUCAACACGGCUUUUGUUGUCGGGGGACAAUGUCUGGGGCUGGCACAACAGCAACGCUAACGCAACAAAAACAAUGCAAGCCCCGAACACACUUACAACAACAACAACAACGAGAAGCACAACAACGUGAAUAGCAACAGGACAGCGAAAGCUGCCGCUGCUAUGAACUGAACUGAAACGUUAGCUAGGCUAGAGGAGGACAGCGCGAGAGCGAGCGGGCGCGCGGUCGGCCUACGGCUCUAGUGCUCAAAGUAGGCUUCAUUCUAACACUUAACAUGUUAAAAUUACAUUCGCCGCUGUUAUUACAGUUUUUUUGUUGUUCCUUGUUUUGCUCGUUAAAUGUCAAGCAGAAGUUGAGAGAAAGUCAAUGACCGACAACCCUUACGGGAGAGAAAAAAUGAAAACAAAAUGUAAUAACAAUAGCAAAAGUUUGUUUUUGGAGUUGAAUGAGCGCACUUAGUUAGCGCACGAAGGCUUAGGGCUAGGGCUUGUUGUAGUUUGUUUUUGUUUUCUGGUUUUGCGCUUGGUGUCGAAAAGAAACUCCGUUAUUCCGUUAUUCCAUAGGCGUGCUGACAACUUGCCAAACAAUGCGAAUUGAGCAAAGCGAAACGACAGAUGAAUUGCAUGAAGAGGCAAAUAAGCUGUGAUUAAAUUAAGAAUCACAUUUUAAAUUUGUAAUGCGAUGCUGCACGUGUAUCAGAUUAAGCAGCAUACACAUAC